GGAUUGAGAAGGGAAAAGAAAGAGAAAGAGAGGGACAGAGAGCUAGGCUCUUGUCUCGGCAGGACAAGGCACGUUCUUCUUACGUGGAUCGCGGGUACAAAUCGUCGCGGUGAGAUCAAAAACCAUGCUUGCGUUCGCCUUCAGGGCUGUGCCGACGUCUCUCACGGACAGAUAAUCCGCCGUAUAAUUCCGCCAUGGAGGAUCGUUUGCCGUCUGCGAAAACUUUCACGGUGCUCCAUAGUCAGCCUCGUGAUAUAGAUAUAGUGCGAUAAGAAAACUCGGUAGGCGCGUGAGCGCGAACUCGAACGCACGCCUACGUACAUAUAUCUAUGUAUGUAUAUAUAUAUAUAUAUAUAUAUAUAUAUAUAUAUACCUAUAUACAAAUCUGUAUGCAUGUAUAACUAUAUGCAUUCGUUUAACUCUUAUUGACGAGGCGUGUCCUUCUACAUGUCAUAAUGCUGUCUACAUAACAAGAUGCAAAUGUAAACAGGGGGGGAAAAAAAAAAACGGGAGUCUUGUAAAAAUAUAAAGUUUCCUAAAGGUAACUAUUACAAUGAGACUUCGUUUGUUUGAGGUUAACGUCGACGUUAACGCGACGUCAACGAUAUACUUUUCUUUCAUAUAAACGUCUGUCACUGUUAUAAAAGGUAAAAAACAAAGAUAACCGAACGAUAAUCGAAGGAGUACGAAUAAACGGGAUUCGUCGAGUUCCACGCCUUACUGGCGAGAAAACGAACAAAAAUAGGGUUGUUCACCCCUCUCGAGCGGUACAUGCCACCGAAUGCCUCACAUUCUCUGUUCCGCCGCGCUCUCCGUCGUCUCAGUAAGAAAGGAUUUUUCUGCGGUGAGCUAAAAUUGCCGUUCUCCACGUGGGCAUAGAUCGAACCGGUAUCAGCCUUGCAAGGCUGCUUGUGACAAAGCGAGCUCGCUUUUAAAGUCAGGUAGUAAACUCGUUGUGGCGUGACGCUCUCAAAUGUGCACUCAACGAAUCGGCGUACCGUCCAGGUAGGCCUCCGCACAUUUUUCUUUGAUUUUUAUUCAGACGCGACGACGUAUCGCGAGAACGUGCCCAUGCGAUACGCCAGCGUGCUUUGGCUAUCGCUUCGCAUAACGUGCGAUAAGGGCGAAAGAAAAAGACGAUUCUUCAAAUGCAGCCGCAAUAAAUCCACCACUUUUGCCGACUUCCUCGUGGAAUUAACGAAGAAACUAAUAAAGAUAAUCGGUAGAGCGUGAGACCAACGAAUAAAUGCAAGAUAUUUAUAUCUGAAUUCUCUGAUAGUAUUAGAAGAAAGCUACAUAAUAUUUUUCUUUUUUAUCUUUUUUACUUUUUUUUCAUUUUUUUUUUUUUUUUUUUUUUUUUUUUAUUGCUUUCUGGAAAGAAGAGGAGAAAAGAAGAGCUCAUUAUUUUCCACUGUUUGCGAUAUUACAACUUGUAAAUUGCUCACAUUGUCGAGCUUAACUUAAUUACUUAAACAAAUUGAUUUAAGAAGGCGCGCGAGCGGCAAUAUUUACUGGCAUCUGCUUCGAGUUUCAAAGAUCAUCGCGUGAUUCCUUACGGAACACACGUACGUAUAUUAGUCGACAAUUUCGUAUAAUUAUUUCUUCAAUUACAAAUGCUCCUUCCCGAUCGCUUCCUGCGUCCCCGAGCGUGGCCGAUUCGGUGAAGAUAACGAUAAUGUUCUUACCAUAUACAGUUUAACCACAAAGUCAAAGAAUACGCAUCGAGUUUAGAUUGUACGUAUAUACAUAGGUAUACAUGUUUACAUACAUAUAUACAUGCCUCGCGUAUGUAACAUCGGAAACGUAUCGAUGAAAUUAUUCAAUUUGCCUUCGAGUGAUUCUUAUCUCGCGCACCGCAUCGAACAUUACUCCGUAACGUAACAACUCGCUUUCGGCGAAUACAUUCGUAUACAUAUGCGUUUAUUACAUAACCGGAUAUGACAUUAUGUAAAAGCGAACGAGUGUCUCUUUUCGCGUGCGUUUUACGAUAGUCCACUGAGCCUCAACAUACUUUCGACAAUCAAAAGCACGUAUUUUCCCUAAGUCGGUCGAGCGUGCAUGCGAUUUGUCAGAAGACAUAGUAGAUACAUUACCUAUAUACAUAUAUUCAUAAAUACGAACAUACGAGAAAUAUUUGAAUAAAACCAUCGACAACUUAGAGGUAUAACGUUGAAAAGAUAAAGAUUUCUUUCUUAUAAGUCCGAUAAAUUCGAUCGGCAAAUUCGUGCGAGAGUCACGCGAGUAAUUAAUUCGCGAACGUAUUCGCGUGUAGGCACAAUUGUUCACCGUAACGAGCGAAAGUUGCAUAACUCAUCGAUACCGCGGUCGACGGACACUCCCCCAUUAUGAAAUUCCAGCUUAAUAGGCUUCCGGCUGAACGUGCGUGCCUGAUCGGACCCAACGGCCUAAAUACCAGCCUAUGCUGCUCUAAUUAUUAUUCCAGUGGUCGCGCUUAACUUUUUCUCAAUUGACUUUUUCAUCGACGAUCCAACUGAGAACCUGCUCAAAAUAUGCGCCUACCACGAACGAUUCCGUAAGAGUUGACGUUUACUAAACGAUACUGACAGCUGCGCUGGUAGUUCAAGACGAUACUUUCCGCAGCUACUACUAUGCUGACGUACCUAACAAAUAAGGGGACGUGAUGACAUUAAAGAAAAUAACAAACUCACGAGAGGAAAUAUCCGUCAUUCGUUAUUCUUUAUUUACGUAUCGCUGAAUACAAAACAACGAAGCAACGAGAUGAGUCGUAAGACAAGAGAGUUGUUGCCGUUCACGACACAUAACGGAAUUACCUAUUCUCCAUGACGAUAAUUAAUUCGAUAAAGACUCGACUUCGUAUACCAAGGGAUUGCGGUGGUACAUAGCUAACAGUCAAUUAGGGACAACCGCAACGAAUCAAUCGACGGUCGAAGGUAGGUAGAAGUGGUAAGGGGUAAGGGAGAAGUAGGAGAAUCAAGAUCGAGAACUCGAUGUUCGUGGGGUCGAUGCUAAUUCCUCGGGUCGACAUCGUGCCCAUGCUCGCGUUCGCCCAUUGGUCCAUACCAGUGGCGGCCCCUUUUGUUCUUUUCACUCAAGAACCGACGAUAUAUGUGGAGCAACCUGGCGACGAUCGUGAUAUGCCAGCCGGCGCCCACGCUCCUGGGCAACUUUAAAAGCGUUAUGCCACCUUCGCCGCUAAACCUUCUGGCCCUGACCUGCCUCGAUCUCUCCCCUACCUUCUUGUAAAGCUACGCCCUCUUAUAUUUUCCGCCUUACCGCUUACCGCCCUUCACGUUCUCCAUCAUAACUCUAUAAUCUAUUAUAUAUAAUAUAUGGUCGAACGAGCGCUACUAUUUGGAGAAUCCAUUCUACGUUAGAGCACGACUAUGAUUCUGUAUAACGAGCACGUGCAAAAGGUGGUACGAUUUAAAUAAGGGAGGAGCAUCGUUUUGGUCCUCGAUGAUCAAGUUGUAUGACAUGUAACGAGACGCAAGUACAUAGGUACGUAUGUAUAUAAACUUAAGAUAGACCUGCCCAUAUUGCGCAUUACGCCCGAACUCCCACGCUCGAAAAGAUUGCUAAGCAUCGAUUCGACGAAUGGCGUUUCAUUCACGGUAAGGCCCACCUCCGCUUUCAGCGACGACAGUCGUAGUACGUUGCAACAGGCAAGAAAAGAAGGCCCGAUGGCUGACGAUUGCAUUCGCCAUCCACUGCAAUCUCUCUCCCACUACGAUCAACCUGUCCUCCUACUCUAAUGCCGCUUGUUGGGCCACCUCUUUCCGGGAAGAAACAUCAUCGUCGACCAUUGGAUGCUACGAAAAUCGAGCUACCGAUUGGCCAACAGCCGGUCGUACCUCGUUUAGAAAUCUUGUGACUUUGCGCGAAGAACGCAAGAUUUUAUCUUACGCGAUACGUCCCGAAUGCAGAUUGACUUGGUCUCGUUGAGAAUUCAAAUACGACAGUACAUUUUAUCCUAGGUAUAAAGAACACACACGUUACGUAAGUUAUGUAAAUUUCUCUUCUUCAUUUGAAUGUAAUUGGACGAUUUGAUUGCGUAUUACUAGAUAUUAUAACGUGUACGAAUCUACGAUUAAACUUUUUCAUCUCGGAAAUAUACCUCAUGUUAAAUUGUUUGGAUUUAAAAUCGAAGACAGCAAUAUAUAAUUAUGUCAGGUUGAUAGACCGUUGAAAUUUAUAAUAUCUACGAGUAGAUGGAACUUUAAUGGGGUCUUUUCGUGUUCGUUGAACAUUAGUUCUUGUCAAUUAAACUAACGUUAGAUAAAGCAAUUGACCCCGACGAUCAGAGGGCUUACGAAAAUACUAUAAUCAACGUUGCAAUCCAUUUAUCUAUUCUAGAAAACGCAGAAGUAACCUUUUGUUUGAUCGUUAUUAUGAUACAUUUUGUAAAAUCGAAAGGAGGAAAGAUAUCUGUGCGUGCGAGCACAGCACAUACACGGUAUAUGCACGAAGGUGUCGCUUUUCAUUGCGGUCAAGCUAAAGCUAUUCGAGGUACGAGGAAGUAUUGAAGUCGAAGUCGACAAGCAGGGAGAUCGAUAGGAACGAACAGGAUUGAUGAGGAGAAAGGUGGUGAGCCGUUGAGCCAAGAGCAGCGUGCCGGUGAACGAGGAACGUCCGCGAAAAAGAACAGGAAUAGGAAUGUCGGUUAAUUUGUAACCACGUUUAUCUAGCACGAUACCGGUGCGUACAUUUUUCUUUCUUGCACUCCAUAAGCAGUCGCACAUACAUACAUAGGCACGCGCGCGAGAAAGAGAGAAAGAAAGAAGAGAGAGAGAGAGAGAGAGAGAGAGAGAGAGAGAGAGAGAGAGAGAGAGAGAGAGAGAGAGAGAGAGAGAGAGAGAGAGAGAAUGAUAAAGAACGAUUACGCGCGAAACGACUUCGAUCAUAUGUAGGUGGUAACUUGAAAAGUUCCUCGUAAUAUCAUUGACUGUAUUCUAAUCGCGAAGCGUUUGUAGUGGAAACAAAAUUAUUACCGAUAAACAAAUUUUCGAUUGAAAAAAAAAAUUAAAAGAUAUAAGAAGUAUACGAUAACGAAAGACAAUAAAAUGUUUCUCAGAACGUAACCGGUAUUUUUUAAAAACGAUAAAAUAUUUUCCGGUUUUACCGAUCUCAUUCUUAAAAACCGGUGAGAGAUCGGUUAAGCUAGAUUCUUCUUGCGUGUACGAAAUAGCGCCUUUUUAUGGCACGUUUCUUUAGACAGCAGCAAUACUUCUAGUUCCUAUUUGAGCAGAGCUUAAGAUAGAUUGUACUGGUCGCCGUCUCUGGCGCCAGCACCGUACGAUUUCCCUCUUAAAGAGCACUUUUUCGUUGAACUGCUUACGUUGACGUACCACUCUCGUGUACGACGGGUAAACGUGAAACGGGCUGUACGCGAUCGCGACACCGGCGAAAGCUGCAACAAACUUCUACUAUACCGGUAUUCAAAGUACCGGUAUAUACAACCUAUGUUUCAGCCGUGACAGGUAUUUACUACUAGCCACGGAAAUACGUUACGCUCGUUCGCGUACUCCACGCGUAUUAGAACCGUUUUUCCAGAAAUUCAAAGAAUGCAUGAAAUCUUCGGUAUGAAACUAACCUCUAAGAAUAGAGAAGGUUCAUUAUAUAAGUAGUGACUUCCUGUAAUCACAUUCCACGCAUUCUGAAAAGUAUCAUUAUCCGACACCUUAAGUAGAAUCUCCUACGUAAGAAUAUCAUUGACUAUGAUUUAAUUUUCUUUGAAAAUGAUGAUGAUACGCGUCUAAUCAGGAAGUCCGAAGAAUAACGAAUAUUGUAUUUCAGUUGAGUCUAUAUUUUAUGAAUGAUUAACUUUAUAUCUUCCUGGAAUCUUUGAUGAGUAGAAGAGACAAUGAACGUCUGCUAAAGUAUAGCUAAGUCGACAUUACCUACUUGAAACGAUCCAAGUUCCAAGUACUUUGGAAUUUACUAAAGUAGAUACAGUAGCAAUGUGUUCCAGAAAUGGAAACAAAAUGGAUAGGAAUUGUAUACCCCGAGAUCAAGAAGACUCCCAACUGAACACCUUCGCAUAAGGAGACGACUCCUCUAGGUCUUUCCUUCCUCUAGGACCACAAAACGCGAAACGAAGAAGGAUAAGAAUGGGGUGUGGAGGGAAGAAGAAACGCGUAAGGAAAGCGAAUUUACGAGAUGAUUGUCCGGUUACCCUAUUCAUUCGGUACGGAAUCUCUAAGAGGAUCUCUAUUGUAGAUUAUUGCGCCAUUGUCCAUUGUCGCCCCUAAACCCUUUCUUCUAACUUACUCGCUUCGGUCUUUCGUCGACAGCAAAGUAAAAAAAAAAAAAAGAAAAGAACUUGUCAAGGACGAGGAGAAUCCGUGAUAACAAUUCGAUUAAACGAAAAAAGCUUUUAAGAUGAUUUCUUCUUUCAUACGUUCACUACACAAGAAAUCCUUUUUAAAAUAGAAAACCACACAGCUUCGACACGAUUUGCCAAGUACUUCCGCCGACAUUAACUUUCAAAUUGCGAGCGAUUCGAGGUAGCUUUACACUUGACACUUCUCUCAAGAUAUUCCUGUCGGACGUUCACUCACGCAAGAUGUAUCAAAGAAAAUUAUGGUCCAGCGUCAAGACGUCUACAUUUGCCAAGAGAAAUGUCAGAGGGAAACUUCAUGCACGAAGUGUCAAGUCCAAGCCCGGUUUGGACAAAGAAAAUUACCGCGACUCAAGUGUCAGGACCGUUUAUAUAAACUAAGAAAUGUCAGAGUGAAGAGACACGUAGUGAGUAUGUUCCCGAAUACUAAUUUUUCGAUAUAUAUAUAUAUAUAUAUAUAUAUAUAUAUAUAUAUACAUAUGUAGAAUAUAUACAUAUAUGAAUAUAUUAGUUUUUAAAAAUAUACUAAACCUUCCGAAUUCUUCGAUAAAAUUUCUAAUUUCUAUAUUACGAUGAUCAAGAGAAACUUUGAUAAAGCAUUCGGAAUGUAGCCGAAACAUCUUUCGAUGCAAAAGACGGACAACAGUAAGCGAGCAGUAUAAUUCCGCGUACUUCAUUCUCUAUACACGGAUAUAUAUCCAUGGUAAUUCGAGAAACAUAACUCAAGACCCAGUGGAAAGGUGCAUCACGACCACCGGCGUACCAAGUCGGCUUCUCUUUGCUACUUUAGCUGUCCGUACCCCUUUCUCUUUAUGUUCGUCGCGCACGAAGACCGUCCUUUUCUUCACCUCUUUCACCAAAGAGAAUUCAACCGAAUGUGAUGACUUUUCACAACUGAGUAUAUACCAUCUUCUAGGUAUGCAAGGUAAGCUCACUCGGGUCCAUUCAAACGUUACAAAUCAAUUUCGAUAAAAAUGAGAUGGAAAUUAUUCGGAAUACGAUUGAUGAAACAGCUAUUUGUGCUUCGAAGAUAUUUCAAUUCGUAAAUAUUUAUUUUAAAUAAUUAUCAUAUGAGUAUAUAAAAUUUUCUAAAGACAUUUGAACAUCUUUUAUAAGCGUAAUGAAGUCUUAAUAUAUUCAUAUUCUAAGAAGUAACAUAUAAUAUAUAAUUUAUGUUGCGACAAAUUUACAAGAUCCGACGACUAAUGCAAAAGAUAAAAUUACCUGUCAAUAAUUUUUCUAAUGUUUCAGCAUAAGAAAACACGUGUUAUAUUACGAUAUACCUAAUGUGAUACUGCCUACCCACGUAUGCUAAUAACGGUGCUUCUUUAAUUAAGCAUAAAACAAGUGAAUAAUAAUUAUAGGAAAUGAAAUGCUCUGACAAAUGCAAAACUUUUUCAUUUACGUUUAUUUAAGUAGCGUUCUAACACCAUUUUUUAAAAUGCCUCAAUUAAUAGAAUUGUCGCCUAAAAUAAAUUACCAAAUGAUCUCUACCUGCUAAGUUUCACAUAUUUACAUAAAGUAAAAGAUAAGAGCUGCAAAUUAUAGCCUCAUUAUAUGGGCGUAACACCCUCUUCACAAAAACUAAUGAGAAAGUCGUUUACCUUACGAUAUAAUUACACGUAAAUUAUUUCUGUUAUAAUAUUGAAAUUAAAAUUCAUUGUACACAUAUAAAUAGAUCUACAUUAACAUAUAGCCAUAUAUUUGUAUUUAAAUGAAAUUAAAGCGAUUUUAUUAGCAACUGCUUAUCGAAUGGAAAUGUAAUAUGUAUGUAAAUUUGAACAAAAUGAAAGAUAGUAAUGUCGCAUCAGAUAAAUAGAAUAAUGAAUAUAUAUUCGCAAUAACAUAUGAACAAAAAUUUGUGUAUGUCUGUGUGUAUAUAAAAAGAAACUUACCUUAUAGUACCGCUCUGCUUAUGCUUGCCGAUGAAAAAAGUCAUUAUUCCAUCGGGUAUCUGCUUUGCCCACGGUGGUUUUAUCCAGAUCAAACUUUUGAAAUGACCGGCAUAUACUGCUGGCAUAAUCCAAUUUUCGAUACUAAUAUCCC